UACGGGGGGGGGCAAGCGUUGUUCGGAAUUACUGGGCGUAAAGGGCUCGUAGGCGGCCAACUAAGUCGGAUGUGAAAUCCCCAGGCUCAACCUGGGAACUGCAUCCGAUACUGGAUGGCUUGAAUCCGGGAGAGGGAUGCAGAAUUCCAGGUGUAGCGGUGAAAUGCGUAGAUAUCUGGAGGAACACCGGUGGCGAAGGCGGCAUCCUGGACCGACACUGACGCUGAGGAGCGAAAGCCAGGGGAGCAAACGGG
rnacentral:rRNA from 1 species